UAGCAUAUCAAUAGCGGAGGAAAAGAAACCAACAGGGAUGCCUUUAGUAACGGCGAGUGAAGCGGCAACAGCUCAAAUUUGAAAUCUGGCUCUUUUAGGGUCCGAGUUGUAAUUUGCAGAGGGCGCUUUGGCUUUGGCAGCGGUCCAAGUUCCUUGGAACAGGACGUCACAGAGGGUGAGAAUCCCGUACGUGGUCGCUAGCUAUUGCCGUGUAAAGCCCCUUCGACGAGUCGAGUUGUUUGGGAAUGCAGCUCUAAAUGGGAGGUAAAUUUCUUCUAAAGCUAAAUAUUGGCCAGAGACCGAUAGCGCACAAGUAGAGUGAUCGAAAGAUGAAAAGCACUUUGGAAAGAGAGUCAAACAGCACGUGAAAUUGUUGAAAGGGAAGCGCUUGCAGCCAGACUUGCUUGCAGUUGCUCAUCCGGGCUUUUGCCCGGUGCACUCUUCUGCAGGCAGGCCAGCAUCAGUUUGGGCGGUGGGAUAAAGGUCUCUGACACGUUCCUUCCUUCGGGUUGGCCAUAUAGGGGAGACGUCAUACCACCAGCCUGGACUGAGGUCCGCGCAUCUGCUAGGAUGCUGGCGUAAUGGCUGUAAGCGGCCCGUCUUGAAACACGGACCAAGGAGUCUAACAUCUAUGCGAGUGUUUGGGUGUCAAGCCCGAGCGCGUAAUGAAAGUGAACGGAGGUGGGAACCCGCAAGGGUGCACCAUCGACCGAUCCUGAAGUUUACGGAAGGAUUUGAGUAAGAGCAUGGCUGUUGGGACCCGAAAGAUGGUGAACUAUGCUUGAAUAGGGUGAAGCCAGAGGAAACUCUGGUGGAGGCUCGCAGCGGUUCUGACGUGCAAAUCGAUCGUCAAAUUUGGGCAUAGGGGCGAAAGACUAAUCGAACUAUCUAGUAGCUGGGUUCCUGCC
rnacentral:rRNA from 1 species